rnacentral:rRNA from 1 species
UACGGAAGGUGCAAGCGUUAAUCGGAAUUACUGGGCGUAAAGGGCGCGUAGGCGGCCUGAUAAGUAGGGGGUGAAAUCCUGCGGCUUAACCGCAGGGCUGCCUUCUAAACUGUCAGGCUAGAGCACAGUAGAGGCAGGUGGAAUUCCCGGUGUAGCGGUGGAAUGCGUAGAGAUCGGGAAGAACAUCAGUGGCGAAGGCGGUCUGCUGGGCCGUUGCUGACGCUGAGGCGCGACAGCGUGGGGAGCAAACAGG